UGCUCCAGCAUUAACCUGCCCCAUUUUGCUCUCAUGCCCUGUAGUUGCUGCUGCGUGUCCUGCAGGGGGCAGAAGCAGAGCUGAAGACAGUGGCACAUGCUGUGGUGCAGGCCCUGCAUGCAUUGGGUGUGCCGCACUGGCUCCUCCACAGGGAGCUGGGAGCUGAAGUUCUGGCAGAAGCCCAGGAGUGGCUGGGUGUGCAGGAGAAGGCCUCAGCGGAAUCACUGCGAGCCUCUCGGAGCGCCAUCCAGCAGCACAGGAAGCAGGAACUGCAGCAGCAGAGAGUGCUAAGGGAGAGACUAAGGCACUUCUACAGAAGUGUGUGUGCAUUUCAGCCUGCAAUGUCGGAAAGAGACCUCCUGCGUGUGAGGCUUCAGUUUGUGAAACAUGUGUGUCGUCUGGAUCGUUGUCUGGUUCUGCCACAUGCUCUUUCACGGGCCAGACUAUACACCUCACUUACCAGUCCCAUCACUCAGCACAGUCAGCGUUGCUCUGACCCUAAAACCAAAAGCAGUCCUGACGCAGACCCUGGAAACACCUCUGUGACCCUUAAAGAGACAAAGAAUGAGCUGAACUCUGGAGAGUGCAUCAUGGAUGCCAGUAUGGGUGCCAGAGUAGCAGAACUGCAGAGCUUCAUCAGAAGUGUGGAGGAGAGGAUAUACUUACAUCAGCAGGAGAGAGGGAGGAACACAUCUGUGGAGGAGGUGUAUGACUGUGAGGCUCAGGAGCAGAAGGUGUAUGAGUGUGAGCAGGGUGUGGCAGAGGCUGUGGUUGCUCUGCAGUGGGAGAGAGGAGAGAGGAGAAGCAGAGUUCUCGAAACACACUCAGCCCUGUUGGAGCUCCAGUCCCUGCUGCUACAGCACCUCCGACACACACCUGCAGAACAGGAGCUCACAAACACCAUACACGCACAGAGCCUGGUGAGUUCAGGAACGCUUGAGAACACACACACGCGCACUUACACACAAGCUGAGGAGCAGAUACAUGGAGUAUCUGCAGCAUACUCACUGUGCAAUAAAAUGGAUGAGAUGCUAAACCUUAUCAGGAGAAAUGGUGACUUUUCUCCUGCACUUUGCUACACUUUGUUUCACUGAAAUCUGGCUCAGAAAAUCUGGUCUAGAAAGUGCAUUAAAUCUCCCUUGUUUUCCCUUCCACAUAUAGGACUGUGCCACAGAAAUCCAGAGCCUGUUUUUAUAUAAACAAAGGUUGAUCUACAGAUGUCACAGUGUUUAAUUAAAUCAUGCUACUUAAAUCUCAAAUCCAUUUUUAUAAACCAAACCUUUUUAAUUCCAGAGGGAAUUUUCCUGUCAUUUCGGUUGGAGUGUAGAUUCUUCUCCAAGUCUGUUUGCAUGAGGCACAUGUGGUUCUUGCUGAGCUGUUUAUCAGAGCAGAGGACAAACCCACUGAUUAUUUUUAUGUUGUUUUGGGGGACAUUAAUAGAGCCAAUCUUUAUCAUAAAUGACCUAAAAACAGGCAGGUAAUAACCUGCCCCACAAAUAAAAGAAAUGCAUGAUCA
ensembl:lncRNA